rnacentral:rRNA from 1 species
AAAUAGAUCCUGAAACCGUAUGCUUACAAAAAGUAGGAGCCUCGUAAGGGGUGACUGCGUACCUUUUGUAUAAUGGGUCAGCGACUUACAUUCAGUGGCAAGGUUAACCGAAUAGGGAAGCCGUAGAGAAAUCGAGUCCGAAUAGGGCGAAUUAGUCGCUGGGUGUAGACCCGAAACCAAGUGAUCUAUCCAUGGGCAGGAUGAAGGUGCCGUAACAGGUACUGGAGGUCCGAACUGACUAAUGUUGCAAAAUUAGCGGAUGACCUGUGGAUAGGGGUGAAAGGCUAAACAAACUUGGAAAUAGCUGGUUCUCUCCGAAAACUAUUUAGGUAGUGCCUCAAGUAUUACCUGCGGGGGUAGAGCACUGUUUUGGCUAGGGGGUCAUGGCGACUUACCAAACCAAUGCAAACUCCGAAUACCGCAGAGUACAGCUUGGGAGACAGAGCACCGGGUGCUAACGUCCGGACUCAAGAGGGAAACAACCCAGACCGCCAGCUAAGGUCCCUAAAAUUGGCUAAGUGGGAAACGAAGUGGGAAGGCUAAAACAGUCAGGAUGUUGGCUUAGAAGCAGCCAUCAUUUAAAGAAAGCGUAAUAGCUCACUGAUCGAGUCGUCCUGCGCGGAAGAUGUAACGGGGCUAAGCCAGUUACCGAAGCUGCGGAUUUGCAAUUUAUUGCAAGUGGUAGGAGAGCGUUCUGUAAGCCUGUGAAGGUGCGUUGUAAAGCGUGCUGGAGGUAUCAGAAGUGCGAAUGCUGACGUGAGUAGCGUUAAAGGGGGUGAAAAGCCCCCUCGCCGUAAGCGCAAGGUUUUCUACGCAACGUUCAUCGGCGUAGAGUGAGUCGGCCCCUAAGGCGAGGCAGAGAUGCGUAGUUGAUGGGAAACAGGUAAAUAUUCCUGUACCGAUGUGUAGUGCGAUGUGGGGACGGAGAAGAUUAGCUCAGCAGACUGUUGGAUAUGUCUGUUCAAGCCUGUAGUCGUGCCUGGUAGGUAAAUCCGCCGGGCUUAGAUGAGGGGUGAUAACGAGGAUGCUUGCAUCCGAAGUGAGUGAUACCCUGCUUCCAGGAAAAGCCACUAAGCUUCAGCUACACACGACCGUACCGCAAACCGACACUGGUGCGCGAGAUGAGUAUUCUAAGGCGCUUGAGAGAACUCAGGAGAAGGAACUCGGCAAAUUGACACCGUAACUUCGGAAGAAGGUGUGCCUUUAGUAUGUGAACCUGUACAAGGGGAGCAGAGUGAGGCCUCAGAGAAUCGGUGGCUGCGACUGUUUAAUAAAAACACAGCACUCUGCAAACACGAAAGUGGACGUAUAGGGUGUGACGCCUGCCCGGUGCUGGAAGAUUAAAUGAUGGGGUGCAAGCUCUUGAUUGAAGUCCCAGUAAACGGCGGCCGUAACUAUAACGGUCCUAAGGUAGCGAAAUUCCUUGUCGGGUAAGUUCCGACCUGCACGAAUGGCGUAACGAUGGCCACACUGUCUCCUCCUGAGACUCAGCGAAGUUGAAAUGUUUGUGAUGAUGCAAUCUCCCCGCGGAAAGACGGAAAGACCCCAUGAACCUUUACUGUAGCUUUGUAUUGGAUUUUGAACAGACCUGUGUAGGAUAGGUGGGAGGCUUUGAAGCCGGAACGCUAGUUUCGGUGGAGCCAACGUUGAAAUACCACCCUGGUGUGUUUGAGGUUCUAACCUAGGUCCAUUAUCUGGAUCGGGGACAGUGCAUGGUAGGCAGUUUGACUGGGGCGGUCUCCUCCCAAAGCGUAACGGAGGAGUUCGAAGGUACGCUAGUUACGGUCGGACAUCGUGAUGAUAGUGCAAUGGCAUAAGCGUGCUUAACUGCGAGACUGACAAGUCGAGCAGAUACGAAAGUAGGACAUAGUGAUCCGGUGGUUCUGUAUGGAAGGGCCAUCGCUCAACGGAUAAAAGGUACUCUGGGGAUAACAGGCUGAUACCGCCCAAGAGUUCAUAUCGACGGCGGUGUUUGGCACCUCGAUGUCGGCUCAUCUCAUCCUGGGGCUGUAGCCGGUCCCAAGGGUAUGGCUGUUCGCCAUUUAAA